rnacentral:rRNA from 1 species
UACGGGGGGAGCAAGCGUUGUUCGGAAUUAUUGGGCGUAAAGCGCGUGUAGGCGGCUUUGCAAGUCGGGUGUGAAAGCCCUCAGCUCAACUGAGGAAGUGCGCCCGAAACUGCAGAGCUUGAGUACCGGAGAGGAUGGUGGAAUUCCCCAAGUAGAGGUGAAAUUCGUAGAUAUGGGGAGGAACACCGGUGGCGAAGGCGACCAUCUGGACGGAUACUGACGCUGAGACGCGAAAGCGUGGGUAGCAAACAGG